rnacentral:tmRNA from 1 species
GGUCGGGCUCGCGGGGCUUGCCCCACGGCUAUGGCGAUAAACGCCGGUGAAAAAUAGGCACAGCGGACCCGGGGGCAGUACCCGGCGGCUCCACCAUCGCAACUGCUUUCAGCAGUUUCGUUGACGGGGCCGAACCAGGAUCGACGUGUGUUGAAAAGCGCUGGCUUUUGCUCGGAAUGGGACCACCGUGACGGCCUAUACACAAGUGCCAACGAUAACGAAGCACUCGCGAUUGCGGCGUAACCCUAAGGCUUAACGGCCUAAGGUUACUCUAAAAUAGCGCGGUUGGACCGCACCGGGCAACAGAAGCGGAUUCCAGCGGCACGGGGAGCGCCGGGCAACAGAAGCUCCCCACCUCAGCAUGAAAUCGUGUUGCGGUGGGGCCCCGAUGGGGGACUCUUGCCUUCGGGUUUGGCCCGCGCAAAUAGGGGCGUCAUGGCGAUUACCAGCGUUCCC